UCUUAGUGGCGGACGGGUGAGUAACGCGUGGGUAACCUGCCUUAUACAGGGGGAUAACACUUAGAAAUAGGUGCUAAUACCCCAUAACAUCACCGGAGGCAUCUUCGGUGGUUGAAAACUCAGGUGGUCAGAGAUGGACAUGCGUUGUAUUAGCUAGUUGGUGAGGUAACGGCUCACCAAGGCGACGAUACAUAGGGGGACUGAGAGGUCAACCCCCCACAUUGGUACUGAGACACGGACCAAACUCCUACGGGAGGCAGCAG
rnacentral:rRNA from 1 species